rnacentral:rRNA from 1 species
UACGGGGGGAGCAAGCGUUGUUCGGAUUUACUGGGCGUAAAGGGCGCGUAGGCGGUCAGCACAAGUCAGUUGUGGAAUCUCCGGGCUUAACUCGGAAAGGUCAACUGAUACUGUGCGACUAGAGUGCAGAAGGGGCAACUGGAAUUCUCGGUGUAGCGGUGAAAUGCGUAGAUAUCGAGAGGAACACCUGCGGCGAAGGCGGGUUGCUGGGCUGACACUGACGCUGAUGCGCGAAAGCCAGGGGAGCGAACGGG